rnacentral:rRNA from 1 species
UACGAAGGGGGCUAGCGUUGUUCGGAAUUACUGGGCGUAAAUGGCGCGUAGGCGGCGUGUCAAGUCAGGCGUGAAAGCCCCGGGCUCAACCUGGGAACCGCGCUUGAGACUGGCAUGCUCGAGUUCGGGAGAGGAUGGUGGAAUUCCCAGCGUAGAGGUGAAAUUCGUAGAUAUUGGGAAGAACACCGAUGGCGAAGGCAGCCAUCUGGACCGACACUGACGCUGAGGCGCGAAAGCGUGGGGAGCAAACAGG